GUGGGGAAUAUUGCGCAAUGGGCGAAAGCCUGACGCAGCAACGCCGCGUGGGUGAUGAAGGCCUUCGGGUCGUAAAGCCCUGUCAGGUGGGAAGAAACCUCCUCGCGAGGGGAGCUGACGGUACCACCGGAGGAAGCACCGGCUAACUCCGUGCCAGCAGCCGCGGUAAUACGGAGGGUGCAAGCGUUGUUCGGAAUCACUGGGCGUAAAGGGCGCGUAGGCGGCGAGGCAAGUCCGAUGUGAAAGCCCGGGGCUUAACCCCGGAAGGGCAUUGGAAACUGCCUGGCUUGAGUUCGGGAGAGGAAGGCAGAAUUCCCGGUGUAGGGUUGAAAUCCGUAGAUAUCGGGAGGAAAACCGGUGGCGAAGGCGGCCUUCUGGAACGAAACUGACGCUGAGGCGCGAAAGCGUGGGGAGCAAACAGGAUUAGAUACCCCAGUAGUCC
rnacentral:rRNA from 1 species